rnacentral:rRNA from 1 species
UACGUAGGGUGCGGAGCGUUAAUUCGGAAUUACUAGGGCGUGAAAGGCGCGUAGGCGGCUCUGUUAGUCAGGCGUGAAAGUCCUGGCUCAACCUGGGAACUGCGCUUGAUACGGCAGGGCUAGAGGAUGGAAGAGGGUCGCGGAAUUCCCAAGUGUAGAGGUGAAAUUCGAUAGAUAUUGGGGAAGAACACCGGUGGCGAAGGCGGCGACCUGGUCCAUUACU